AACCAUUCUCACCUGCGGCUAGACCUGCGGAAGGAUCAUUAACAUUUUUGGAGGUAGGCUGUAUAAGUCUGGUUGGUAACAACUAGCAUGGCCCCUCUGAUUUGUACCCUUGUCUAUUUGCGCACUUAUGUUUCCUCGGUGGGCUUGCCUGCCGAUUGGACAAACUUAUAACCUUUUUAAUUGUUAAAUCAGCGUCUGAAACAAACAUAAUAAUUACAACUUUUAACAAUGGAUCUCAGA
rnacentral:misc_RNA from 1 species